GGACAAGAGGGACAAGGCCCCCUUAAACCUAAGCGCCUUCCAGCAAAACAGAUGAUAUAAUCUCAAUCUCAACAGGAGUAAAUAAUACUAGCCCUAGCCCAGGGCUU
rnacentral:rRNA from 1 species